rnacentral:rRNA from 1 species
UACGUAGGGCGCGAGCGUUGUCCGGAAUUAUUGGGCGUAAAGAGCUCGUAGGCGGCCUGUUGCGUCCGCUGUGAAAUCCCAGGGCUCAACCCUGGGCGUGCAGUGGAUACGGGCAGGCUAGAGUUCGGUAGGGGAGACUGGAAUUCCUGGUGUAGCGGUGAAAUGCGCAGAUAUCAGGAGGAACACCGGUGGCGAAGGCGGGUCUCUGGGCCGAUACUGACGCUGAGGAGCGAAAGCGUGGGGAGCGAACAGG